rnacentral:other from 1 species
AGGUAUCUGAGAUGUGCGAGUCAUACUUUUUGUGUUGACCUUACAAUCUUUUAAUAAGGGGCUUUAAGAUGUUUCGUAGGAUGAAACGCCAGUCCCUCUGGACUUCAGCAAUACGAACCGUAAGCCCCACCUGCUUAUAACGCGGGUUCAAAACAAUCUUAUGAAAUACGGCAUCAUCGGAUACCUU